UUCUGUAUAAAAGGGUAACCCAGCCCAGGACAGGUUUAUUCAGCUGCUUGUGUUCCUUUGACGAACUUCUUUUGAGCUGCUCCGGUUAGGUUUUGAGAUUUCACUCCUUCAUCAUGAAGAAUUGGGUUUAUCUAGUUUGUCUGUAUCUGCUGGUGGACAGGUCUUUCGGUAACAGCUGCCCCUGCCGCGACAGUCCCGACUUCAGGUGCAUUGGAGAGCCUGGCGAAGAGGAUUGUACCCACGGGAGGGUGGCCGACAGGUGUGGCUGCUGUCUAGAGUGUGCUAAGGGCCCGGCAGAGGAGUGUGGAGGGGUAUGGGACCUAAAUGGUCACUGUGCUGAAGGUUACCAAUGCGUCAAGACCCCCGGAGGAUUCGACGACGGCACUUACUUCGAAGGAACGUGCCAGUGAACGGCUAAGGAGAUGAUGUCUGUGGCGGGAUCUCUUGUUCUGGAAACCCCAGCUACAUCGUUCUUGACUUUUUCAUAUGAAUAACUCAGCAGCUGGUCCAACAGCGGUUCCUUGGGACUAACGUGCCUCCCGUGUGACCAGAUUAUAUGUUUGCAACCUGUCGGGUGUCCUUACGGCUACGUCAAAGGAGUCUGCAGCUGUUGCGAUGUGUGUGCAAAGGGCCCGGGAGAGUUCUGUGGGGG